UACGUAGGGGGCUAGCGUUGUCCGGAUUUAUUGGGCGUAAAGAGCUCGUAGGUGGUUCGGCAAGUCAGUUGUGAAAUCUCCGCGCUCAACGCGGAGGGGUCAGCUGAAACUGCUGUGACUUGAGUCUGGUAGGGGAGUGUGGAAUUCCCGGUGUAGCGGUGAAAUGCGCAGAUAUCGGGAGGAACACCAGUGGCGAAGGCGGCACUCUGGGCCAGACCUGACGCUGAGACGCGAAGGCGUGGGGAGCGAACGGG
rnacentral:rRNA from 1 species